UGGCUCUCGCAUCGAUGAAGAACGCAGCGAAAUGCGAUAAGUAAUGUGAAUUGCAGAAUUCAGUGAAUCAUCGAAUCUUUGAACGCACCUUGCGCUCCUUGGUAUUCCGAGGAGCAUGCCUGUUUGAGUGUCAUUAAAUCAUCAAUCUCUCAAUCUUUGUUGAUUGUGGAUUGGACUUGGGGACUUGCUGGUUUUCGGAUCGGCUUCCCUCAAAUGCAUUAGCUGGAGCAUUGCGAGCAGCAUAUAUGCGGUGUGAUAAUAUCUUCACUGUGUAGCUCUUGUUCAAGUCCGGCUUCUAAUCGUCCUUUAGUUGGACAAUCAUUUGACAACUUGACCUCAAAUCAGGUAGGACUACCCGCUGA
rnacentral:misc_RNA from 1 species